AUCGAACGCUGGCGGCAGGAAUAACACACGGAAGUCCAUCGAACGGCGGACGGGUCAGUAAUGUAUGGGGGCUGCGCGAGAGAGGGGGAUCACUACUAGAAACGGUGGCUAAUACCGCAUACUCUCGGAUAACCCAGAUGGGAUUAGCUAAUAGGUGGGGUAAAGGCACACCUAGGCGACGAUCUCUAGCUUGUCUGAGAGUAUGAUCAUCCACACUGGUGCGGAGACACGGCCCAGAAUCCUACGGAGGCAGCAGUGGGGAAUAUUGCACAAUGGGGGCAAGCCUGAAGCAGCCAUGCCGCGUGUAUGAAGAAGGCCUUAGGGUUGUAAAGGACUUUCAGCGGUGAGGCGGUACGCGUAGAAGAAGCCCCGGCUAACUCCGUGCAAGCAGCCGCGGUAAUAC
rnacentral:rRNA from 1 species